rnacentral:rRNA from 1 species
GAUGAACGCUGGCGGCGUGCCUAAUACAUGCAAGUCGAGCGAACAGACGAGGAGCUUGCUCCUCUGACGUUAGCGGCGGACGGGUGAGUAACACGUGGAUAACCUACCUAUAAGACUGGGAUAACUUCGGGAAACCGGAGCUAAUACCGGAUAAUAUAUUGAACCGCAUGGUUCAAUAGUGAAAGACGGUUUUGCUGUCACUUAUAGAUGGAUCCGCGCCGCAUUAGCUAGUUGGUAAGGUAACGGCUUACCAAGGCAACGAUGCGUAGCCGACCUGAGAGGGUGAUCGGCCACACUGGAACUGAGACACGGUCCAGACUCCUACGGGAGGCAGCAGUAGGGAAUAUUCCACAAUGGGCGAAAGCCUGACCCAGCCAUACCGCGUGAGUGAAGAAGGUCUUCGGAUCGUAAAGCUCUGUUGUUAGGAAAGAAAAGAAGUAGAUGUAACUACCGAUGUUCUGACGGUACCUAAAGAAAAAGCACCGGCUAACUUCGUG